CUAGCUGUCAAACAAACAAACAAACAAACAUGGCGGACUGAAAAUAUAACCGUCUGACGUCGAGCGUAAUUAAUCAAAUAUACCCGAAAGAGAAUUAUUACAGAGCUUCAAGAACGACAAUUAACUAAUUUACUCACCGUUCAGCCUAUGUCCAGCAGAAAAACAAAGAGUCGUCCAGGACGACAGCUCCAUCCACGCGUCUGGCAGAAGGGUUGUCACAGCGGAAACAUCCAGAGCACGGUGCAGGGCCGACGGGGAGGGAAGGACAAUUAGGAGUCGGCUUGGAUCAAAACCACCCGUCAGGCUGCCGGAUGCAUCAUCUGUCUGCAGGAAAAGUGUGAAUAGAUGCCACCGGCUGCAGAGUAGAGGCAGGAUUACCGGAUCAGCUUUGUUAAAGGUUUCUUGGAGUGACAAGUUCCUUUCGUACCUGCUGAUGUCAGACAUCUCAUAAAUAUCUGCUGAGCGAGGUGUUUUUACUCUAAGACUACACUAGUCUAUGAGAGCUUCAUGCUGUCGGAGAAGUCGAGGAGCCAGCUCUACAAUAACACAGCAGACUUUGACACUGAUGUGACUGUUCCAGUUUGUCAUUGAGAGGUGAUAUCAGUGCUGAUCGCUGGCCGAGCUACAGCUAAUAUCUGUAGAUGUCACUCACCAAAGUGCAGGAGGAGAAGACGACAGAGAGCAGUGCCGGGUGUCUGUGCUGUUAUCACUAAAUAAACUCCGUCUGACACAGAGCCAAAAUACCUGCUCAGUGUUCAGACACGCAAACUGGACCAAAUGAAAUCUGGAGCAUUUUUGCAACAAUCAUUUCUUGUUAAAUCUCUAAGAAAAUCCCUCUACUUUUGUUUAUUUGUUUGUGGUUUAAGAAUGUGUUUCUUUUUUGUGAUCAAGAGCUGUGUUUCCAUUAAAGUGAAAGCAAAUUUUGAUAUGUCACCUUAAAGAAAAUAAGAAUUGGGGACAUUUCUAUCAGCUGGUUUAGAACAAAUAUACAAAGCUGCAUAAACGUACUUUGCUCAGAAGAUGGCAGUGUAAUGUGUUGCUGUAGGCUAAUCCGUCAGUAAACAGUAGAAGAAGUAGAGAAACAUAAAAAAGAGGUUGCUAUUCGGACAACUUUGUCCACCCACGAGAGAAAAUGGAGAGAAGUCUUCAGUUUGGAGAGACAGCCUCAUCUUCAAAUUAGCUGACUGUAACUGGGAUGUUUAUGCACAUUUGAGGCUUCCUUUUCUGUCUAUACACACAACAUCCAAGUCCGGGUGAAGUAAAGUCAGAGAUUUGUAUGAAAACUUUUAUUUUACAAGCUAAAAAAUAAUAUCUCACAACAUGUAAAGACUUAAAACUUUAUAUGACUGAAUUUUGGAUAUGGAUUAAAACUCAUGGCUCAAAAAUCAUGGCUCGAUGACACACUGGAGCUUCCUUAUGAUAACUCCGCCCCCAAAUCUAUAUAAGCGUCUUUACCAACAGCAGCUAACGUUAAUACAUUUAUUUAUAACUUCUUCCGCAUGAACACGACCUAAUUCUCUGCUCAGGACGCCAUCACUCAACUACAUCUUUACACAGCUAAUGGUAGUUUGCUGCUAUAUUAAUGCUCUGAAUGUUAACAGAACUUUAAAAUCUUUGGAAAAACAUUUUUCUUUCUCUUAAUUGGCAGUGGAGCCAUUCUCAUUAUGUUGUAGUAUUAAUAUCUCCUGUUGGUACAAAAAAGAAAAUCCACUGAUGUCUUGUAUUUUGCAACUUAAAUAACCUGCUUAAACAUCAAACCAUUAAAAUUUUUAAUAUUAUUUUCUGUAAACACUGUUAUUAUGAAAUUGGAGUAAAGGUUUGCAUUGUGCAUUAGUGUUACCACCGUGACCUCACGGGGACGCUGUUGGAGCGUUAUAUUUCUGCUCUUAUUUAGACUUUUAUAACUGUACAUGGUCUGCAAUCUAUAUUGAAGCCUACUGUCUGCAUGUACUCUCUAGGAGCAUGUUAAAUAUUAUGGAACAAGCUGCUCAGUGUUUACAAGCUGACAAGGACUGAGUUUUGUUUAGAAUUUUUCAUCUUAAAGAUCAGUGUUUUGGUACACUGUGUGAAGUCAGACGAUUACUACAAAGCGUUGUGAUUUUUCAAUAUUUUAUUUUAUUACCGACCCACACAAGUUUUGUUUGUUCCAGACCAAAACAUAAAGCUCCAGAUAGAUAACCAGCUGUCGUUUCCUUACAGUGGGUUUCAUGUUAGAGUCACAGAUGUGGCGUUUGUGGUCACACCUGCUGACUAUUACUGUACCAGCUGUGAGUGAGUGUGCAGCUGGUUUAGUCUCUCUGUGUCGCAGCUGUCGAACACUGUCCCACCUGCAAGAUGAGCAGCUUGUGUAAGAGUGCUGUCAUACACAGCUCUGAAAAAUUAAGAGACCACUCUCACAAAUGUUUCUUGAAUCGGCAUCUGUACAUCUAUGG